GCGUCCUGCGGUCUUCCUGAGCGAAAGCUGGUGAACUGGGGUGCUGGGGUGCUAUCUGCGGGCAUUUCAGCUCCUUCCGCCGCUGCUGAGAAAGUUGAAGGCUUCGAAUUAAAUGAGUAGCAGCUCACCUAGUUCCUCCACACUGUUAGCGGGCAUGCCCGUGCUGGGUAAGCAGACCCAUCUUCACGGAGCCGAAAGUGGACCCAGGAAUUCCAAGCGGUGUACUGCAAGUCACAUCUCUGAUUCUAGCCCGUCUGCUCCCGGAGACCCGCUUUCCUACAUCUAGAAAAAAACAGGGGUCUGUGGCGAGCCAAAGACGCCCCCUGCCUCAAGGACCCAGCGUUACUGAGACUAGCACUGCAAGGAAAAAAUAUGAGAAGCUGGAGGGGACAGCAUCGCUGUGGCUACAGAGUGGGCGUGUGUCUGGGUCAGAGUAUGGUUCACCCUACUCCAGGGCGGGAAGGACGGUCAGUCUAAAGAAAGUCAGCUUUUGAUUUCAAAGACCACAGGCUAGAGGGAAGGCGCGCCACCACGAACAGCCUGGAUGCAUCAGCUGCCCAGGAAUUCAUUAUGUAGCUCACCCACAGUGAUCCUCCUGCUUCAGCCUCCCACAUGCUAGGAUAACAGCCCAGCCCAGAGGCAAAGAAAUGACUCCUUUUGGAACCUAUUUCAACAAGUCCCUGAGGCGUAUCGACCUUUAACCGCCAGGAAUCCUGUGGUCCUGCUUGAGGUGUGCCAAGACGGAACGGAGCAAAGAAUACCAUAAACCAACAGACUUUGCAAAUACACUGGAAGGGGGAACAUGAACAUGCUGGAGGUCAGAGGACAACUUGAAGCCUCUUGUUUUCUUCCUGAGGAUUGAACUUGGCCUUGCUACCGAGCGCCUCUGACCUCUGAGACAUCACACCAGCCCGAGUUAUGGAUGUGCAGAACCACACAGGCAGCUGAGGGAAACGGGAAGCUAACAACCGCUGAUCACGCUCACAGGCUGAUCCUAAUUGCUUGCACUGCCUAACGCUUGCACACCACAGUGACAAUAAGAUGUGAUUGCAGGUCCCGGAAGCUGGUGGCUUACUUCCCUAGCUGGCAGGUUUGAUUGCAGCUAUUCAAAGACCAUUUAGAUGUGUGCAUGUGUCUAGGAUCCAAAUGGUACCCAAGUCUGCCUUCCCUGACCAACCAGCACCAGGAGAAGGAUACACUGUCCCCUCAGCCCCCAGGGACUUGCCACCCACUGUUAGAUCCCUUCUUAGGGGAUAUAACACACUAAGGGAUAAGCAGAAGUCAGAUGGGCUGACAUAUCUGUAUUCCAGAAGAAACUGAGGAAUGUGUCUCAACUUCUUAAAAGUCCUCAGAGUCGGGAUAUUCUUUAAAUAGUGUUUCUUCUCUCUUUCAUUUAAUGAGUGGAAUCAUGAUUUCCCAGUCCCCAACUGAACCUUGGAUCUCGUGAAUGUUAAAAACAAGUAGCGGGGAGCUGGAGAGAUGGCUCAGCGGUUAAGAGCACUGGAUGCUCUUCCAAAGGUCCUGAGUUCAAUUCCCAGCAACCUUAUGGUGGCUCACAACCAUCUGUAAUGCAAUCUGGUGCCCUCUCCUGCCAUGCAAGGCAUACAUGCAAGGCAGAACACUGUAUGCAUGAUAAUAAAUAAAUAAGUAAAUAAAUAAAUCUUUAAAAAGUA